UCCUCUCGGUCCCAUAUUGAACUCGAUUUGGAAGAGGCGAGUCCGGUCUCAAAAUGGAGGUAAAACCGCCGCCCGGUCGUCCCCAGCCCGACUCCGGCCGUCGCCGUCGCCGCCAGGGGAAGGAGGGCCAUGAUCCAAAGGAACCAGAGCAGCUGAGAAAACUGUUUAUUGGUGGUCUGAGCUUUGUAACUACAGAUGAUAAUUUAAGAGAACAUUUUGAGAAAUGGGGCACACUCACAGAUUGUGUGGUAAUGAGAGACCCCCAAACAAAACGUUCCAGGGGCUUUGGUUUUGUAACUUAUUCUUGUGUUGAAGAGGUGGAUGCAGCGAUGUGUGCUCAACCACACAAGGUUGAUGGGCGUGUAGUGGAACCAAGGAGAGCUGUUUCUAGAGAGGAUUCUGUAAAGCCUGGUGCCCAUCUAACAGUGAAGAAAAUUUUUGUUGGUGGUAUUAAAGAAGAUACAGAAGAAUAUAAUUUGAGAGACUACUUUGAAAAGUAUGGCAAGAUUGAAACCAUAGAAGUUAUGGAAGACAGGCAGAGUGGAAAAAAGAGAGGAUUUGCUUUUGUAACUUUUGGUGAUCAUGACACAGUUGAUAAAAUUGUUGUUCAGAAAUACCACACUAUUAAUGGGCAUAAUUGUGAAGUGAAAAAGGCCCUUUCUAAAUAAGAGAUGCAGUCUGCUGGAUCACAGAGAGGUCGUGGAGGUGGAUCUGGCAAUUUUAUGGGUCAUGGAGGAAACUUUGGAGGUGGUGGAGGUAAUUUUGGCCGUGGUGGAAACUUUGGUGGAAGAGGAGGCUAUGCUGGUGGAGGUGGUGGCAGCAGAGGUAGUUAUGGAGGAGGUGAUGCUGGAUAUAAUGGAUUUGGAGGUGAUGGUGGCAACAAUGGCGGUGGUCCUGGUUAUAGUAGUAGAGGGGGCUAUGGUGGUGGUGGACCAGGAUAUGGAAACCAAGGUGGUGGAUAUGGUGGAGGUGGUGGAGGAUAUGAUGGUUACAAUGAAGGAGGAAAUUUUGGUGGUGGUAACUAUGGUGGUGGUGGGAACUAUAAUGAUUUUGGAAAUUAUAGUGAACAACAGCAAUCAAAUUAUGGACCCAUGAAAGGGGGCAGUUUUGGUGGAAGAAGCUCGGGCAGUCCCUAUGGUGGUGGUUAUGGAUCUGGUGGUGGAAGUGGUGGAUAUGGUAGCAGAAGGUUCUAA